rnacentral:rRNA from 1 species
GAUGAACGCUGGCGGCGUGCCUAAUACAUGCCAGUCGAGCGAACAGACGAGGAGCUUGCUCCUCUGACGUUAGCGGCGGACGGGUGAGUAACACGUGGAUAACCUACCUAUAAGUCUGGGAUAACUUCGGGAAACCGGAGCUAAUACCGGAUAAUAUAUUGAACCGCAUGGUUCAAUAGUGAAAGACGGUUUUGCUGUCACUUAUAGAUGGAUCCGCGCCGCAUUAGCUAGUUGGUAAGGUAACGGCUUACCAAGGAAACGAUGCGUAGCCGACCUGAGGGGGGGAUCGGCCACACUGGAACUGAGACACGGUCCAGACCCCUACGGGAGGCAGCAGUAGGGAAUCUGCCGCAAUGGGCGAAAGCCUGACGGAGCAACGCCGCGUGGGUGAUGAAGGUCUUCGGAUCGUAAAACGCUGUUAUGAGGGAAGAACAAAUGUGUAAGUAACGAUGCACGUCUGGACGGUACCUAAGCAGAAAGCCACGGCAAACUACGG